GAAAUGCGAUAAGUAGUGUGAAUUGCAGAAUUCAGUGAAUCAUCGAAUCUUUGAACGCACAUUGCGCCCUUUGGUAUUCCAAAGGGCAUGCCUGUUCGAGCGUCAUUUGUACCCUCAAGCUUUGCUUGGUGUUUGGCGUCUUGUCUCUAGCUUUGCUGGAGACUCGCCUUAAAGUAAUUGGCAGCCGGCCUACUGGUUUCGGAGCGCAGCACAAGUCGCACUCUCUAUCAGCAAAGGUCUAGCAUCCAUUAAGCCUUUUUUCAACUUUUGACCUCGGAUCAGGUAGGGAUACCCGCUGAACUUAAGC
rnacentral:misc_RNA from 1 species